GACGAACGCUGGCGGCGUGCUUAACACAUGCAAGUCGAGCGGUAAGGCCCUUUCGGGGGUACACGAGCGGCGAACGGGUGAGUAACAUGUGGGUGACCUGCCCUCAGCUCUGGGAUAAGCCUGGGAAACUGGGUCUAAUACCGGAUAUGACUCCAUGACGCAUGUUGUGGGGUGGAAAGCCUUGUGCGGCUGAGGAUGGGCCCGCGGCCUAUCAGCUUGUUGGUGGGGUGAUGGCCUACCAAGGCGACGACGGGUAGCCGGCCUGAGAGGGCGACCGGCCACACUGGGACUGAGACACGGCCCAGACUCCUACGGGAGGCAGCAGUGGGGAAUCUUGCGCAAUGGGCGAAAGCCUGACGCAGCGACGCCGCGUGAGGGAUGACGGCCU
rnacentral:rRNA from 1 species